rnacentral:misc_RNA from 1 species
CUGGUUUGGCCUUGGGAUCUUCCACUCCGGCAUUGAAGGUAAUAUGCAGAUAUUUUGUGUGUUUUAUGGUGUUGUUGCUCUUAAUGUUUCCCGCUUAAUUGUAAAUAAUUUUGUUGCUGUCUAAUUUAGUUUGCGUAGCUGGGGACAUUAAAUGGUUAGUGUAAACACUAGUUCAUGAUAUAAUAUGGCGUCUUUCUUUAUGCUGUUGAAAGUUUAAGGAGUCCACUGCAUUUGCAUAAGUUCAUGAAUUUCAUAUCCUGCUUUUGCUAAUAGCGUUGUUCUACAACUAUGAUGUAGUAUUUUCUUUGGCAAAGGCUUCAAAUUGAAGAUUUUUCAGGUAGGUUGAGGUUCAUAGCAAGAGAAUCAUGAUUUAAUAUGAUCCAGAAUGAGAGUGUAGAUUUGUGAUUUUGGUGGAGUGUCACUUAAGAAUGAGGGGUUCUCUUGCAAAUAGAAUUGGAUGGUCCUGUAAUUAUUUGUGUGAUAUCUCACCUUGAUGCAUUGCCAUGGUGAAGAUUUCAUUUGGUACUAAAUGUAUAUGUAGGCUCAAGAUACAAUAUGCAGUAGAUAAUAGCUCAUGUGCAUAUCUCCUUUAGAUAGAUAAGUAAUGGCAUCCCUUAUGCUUUUAAUUCAAAGGAGUAUUGUAUACUGCAUGCAAUUUGUCAAUUAUGCAAAUGACAAUAGAAAAUAAUAAAUUCUUAAAAAUCAUUGAGGACUAGAAAAAAGAAAGGUAAAAAAGAAAGAAAAAUCAUCUGGAGGACCAAAAUCGUACAGAAAUUCACAGUGCUUUAUCUUUUCUACUACUUACUUGCCGAUUACAACAAACCUGUUCAGUUAAUAAUCCUUCUCCUAUAAUCUCUAUCACCCUACAUAUACUUCAUAAGUCACUAUUUUAUUCCUUGUAAAUGAAUAUAAAGGAAGCAGAGACAGGAUCAUAGUGAAGUGCCAAAUCAAGAGAACCAGCAAACAAGAAGAAUAAUUGAACCUGUAUUGGCUUCACAUUUUAUUAAUAACUGGGAGUUUCUUAAGUUAUAGAAUGGAAUUUGCAAGAUUGAUUGUGGUAAUCAAUAUUUCCAAUAAUAAGGAAAGAGUAGCCUGCAAUGGUACAAGAUUUCCAUAUUUGAACUUGAUUGGAUAAAUGAAUUUAUUGGAAACUUAAAAGUUUUUCUGAAUACUGAAAAGAUGUCACAUCAGUGGUGCAAUUUAGGUAGAAAAAAGCUAUACAAGAGAAGUCAUCUUUGAUGUGUGUGUGAAGAACUGGCAAAUCUUAUGGAAGACAUAUGAAGAGAAUAAGAAGCAUAAUGUAAAAUGAAUAGGUUCUUGCUUGUGAAGAAGAGUCUCCAACUCUAGAAGCUAGUUUAGCAUUAUAGUUCACAAAAAGCAAAUAAAACAACAAUGUAGCUUUCCACAUCCAGAUGCUAGUUUUGUUCCUGAAUUGCUGUACAAACUAAUAGGCUCCUUAAGAUAGUUUUCUUGGAGAAGUCCUAUUGUCCUAAACAUUGAGACCAGAAAUCGCAAUAGAUUGCUUAUGAGAACAAAAUUGGUUUGUCCUGAAUAGUUCUUUGGACCUAGCAAAAAGAGGAGAAGAAAAGUGAAGGAUUUCUUUUGCUUUUGCAUAGAUACACAGACAAAAAUAAGUUUGAGCCUUCUUUAUUAAAUUUUGUAAAUGUAGGAGAAUAUCAUCAUCAUAUCCAAAUUCAGGCAGCAAGAUUAUAAUAUAUGCCAUAAUGAGCUUGUAGAUCAUUCUGUAUGUUAUGAAGUGUGAUUUUACUGUUCUUUAUUGCAAUAAAGGGUCAACUCAUAUGUGAAGAACCCUUUGCAAAUAGAAAUUAUAAUCAAUGAUAUUUAUAGUUGGUCAUAUGUGAGUUGUCAAAGUGACAGGAUUGUUAAUCGCUGCUGUUAUUUAGGUAAGAAUUUAUUGAAGUCCAUUUUCAAAAGGGUCCACACCCCAAAUGCCAAAAAACCUUAAAUCUGAAGGUCUAUUCUAUAUGUUAUUAAAAAUUAACAAACUGAUGCCAAUUCCAAAGUGACUGAAUUUAAAUACCAUGCACAGGUUGGAAAACUUAUGAUGUCUUGUGUACCAUUGAUACUGAAUGUGCUCUUAGUUGAUAACUAACUUGGUUGAUAGGACUUCAAAUUGACCUUAAGUUUAGGCAAUCGGAAAAGCCAAGGCUUUGUUAUGGUAAACUUGCUUUUCUUGCCUUUUGUAAUUUUAAAACAUAAUAUAAAAAAAAAAAGCAAUAGAAGGAAAGAGAAAGAAAAAGAGAGAAAAGUUUAGUAAACUAAGCCCAUAAUAACUAACAGUUUGUUUGGCUAGCUGCUUUUUGCUAUUUCAACAAAUGUUGAUAGCUUUUAGAAAACAAAUGCAUUACUAAGAAAGUGAAUUUGAUGAAUAUUUGAAUUGCACUUUGCAUGAGACAAGAAAAAGGCAAUUACAACAAGCCAAAUAUUACUUUCUGCUUCUAAAACAGUGAGAAGCAAUAAAGCAAGCAAGCUAACCAAGUGGAGAUUAAUCUUUGCCAAUCAUCAUAAAUGAUUCACUUGCACUUCACUCUCUGUCAUUUAUCAGCAUGUGUAUACUUCCAUUGAGCUUCAUUUGCUCCAGCCUUUUUAUUUGCAACUUUGAUGUUGCACUAACAUCAUAUGUGCCUGAUCUAUAAUCAGUGCAUGGAAUGGAGUUUGGUUU